rnacentral:rRNA from 1 species
GAUGAACGCUGGCGGUGUGCCUAAUACAUGCAAGUCGAGCGAACAGACGAGGAGCUUACUCCUCUGACGUUAGCGGCGGACGGGUGAGUAACACGUGGAUAACCUACCUAUAAGACUGGGAUAACUUCGGGAAACCGGAGCUAAUACCGGAUAACAUGUUGAACCGCAUGGUUCAACAGUGAAAGACGGUCUUGCUGUCACUUAUAGAUGGAUCCGCGUCGCAUUAGCUAGUUGGUAAGGUAAUGGCUUACCAAGGCAACGAUGCGUAGCCGACCUGAGAGGGUGAUCGGCCACACUGGAACUGAGACACGGUCCAGACUCCUACGGGAGGCAGCAGUAGGGAAUCUUCCGCAAUGGGCGAAAGCCUGACGGAGCAACGCCGCGUGAGUGAAGAAGGUCUUCGGAUCGUAAAACUCUGUUAUUAGGGAAGAACAAAUGUGUAAGUAACUAUGCACGUCUUGACGGUACCUAAUCAGAAAGCCACGGCUAACUACGUG